UGCAGAAUCCCGUGAACCAUCGAGUUUUUGAACGCAAGUUGCGCCCUAGGCCAUCCGGCUGAGGGCACGCCUGCCUGGGCGUCACGCACUGAGUCGCCCCUUCUUCUCCGAGGAGAGAUGGAGCGGAGAUUGGCCCCCCGUGCUUCCGAGUGCGGUCGGCCUAAAACUUGGCCCUUGGAGGCCGGCGUCACGAUCCGUGGUGGUUGGCAUCAAUUGUCUUAUCCGGAAUCCGUGGUCGUCGUUCCUCCUUUUGGACCACAAGGAACCCUCGAGAGGUUUAGGCCUCCACUCUGCGACCCCAGGUCAGGCGGGACCACCCGCUGAAUUUAAGCAUAUCAAUAAGCGGAGGAGAAGAAACUUACAAGGAUUCCCCUAGUAACGGCGAGCGAACCGGGAUCAGCCCAGCUUGAGAAUCGGACGGCCUCGCCGUCCGA
rnacentral:rRNA from 1 species